UACGGGGGGGGCAAGCGUUGUUCGGAAUUACUGGGCGUAAAGGGUUCGUAGGUGGCUUGCUAAGUCAGACGUGAAAUCCCUCAGCUUAACUGGGGAACUGCGUCUGAGACUGGUGAGCUUGAGUGCAGGAGAGGAACGCGGAAUUCCAGGUGUAGCGGUGAAAUGCGUAGAUAUCUGGAGGAACACCGGUGGCGAAGGCGGCGUUCUGGACUGCUACCGACACUGAGGAACGAAAGCCAGGGGAGCAAACGGG
rnacentral:rRNA from 1 species